GCAUAUCAAUAAGCGGAGGAAAAGAAACCAACAGGGAUUGCCCUAGUAACGGCGAGUGAAGCGGCAACAGCUCAAAUUUGAAAGCUGGCUUCGGCCCGCGUUGUAAUUUGGAGAGGAUGCUUUGGGCGAGGCUCCUUCUGAGUUCCCUGGAACGGGACGCCACAGAGGGUGAGAGCCCCGUAUAGUUGGAAGCCAAGCCUGUGUAAAGCUCCUUCGACGAGUCGAGUAGUUUGGGAAUGCUGCUCAAAAUGUGAGGUAAAUUUCUUCUAAAGCUAAAUACCGGCCAGAGACCGAUAGCGCACAAGUAGAGUGAUCGAAAGAUGAAAAGCACUUUGAAAAGAGGGUUAAAUAGCACGUGAAAUUGUUGAAAGGGAAGCGCUUGUGACCAGACUUGCGCCCGGCGGAUCAUCCGGUGUUCUCACCGGUGCACUCCGCCGGGCUCAGGCCAGCAUCGGUUCUGGCGGGGGGAUAAAGGCCCAGGGAAUGUGGCUCCUCCGGGAGUGUUAUAGCCCUGGGUGUAAUACCCUCGCCGGGACCGAGGACCGCGCUCUGCAAGGAUG
rnacentral:rRNA from 1 species